UCGGACUUUUACGUAUUCUCUCUCUGCACGUCGUAGCGAUAACGAGUUAUCUGAACCUUCGGGGAACGAUAACGGCGUCGAGCGGCGGACGGGUGAGUAAUGCCUAGGAAAUUGCCCUGAUGUGGGGGAUAACCAUUGGAAACGAUGGCUAAUACCGCAUAAUGCCUACGGGCCAAAGAGGGGGACCUUCGGGCCUCUCGCGUCAGGAUAUGCCUAGGUGGGAUUAGCUAGUUGGUGAGGUAAUGGCUCACCAAGGCGACGAUCCCUAGCUGGUCUGAGAGGAUGAUCAGCCACACUGGAACUGAGACACGGUCCAGACUCCUACGGGAGGCAGCAGUGGGGAAUAUUGCACAAUGGGCGCAAGCCUGAUGCAGCCAUGCCGCGUGUGUGAAGAAGGCCUUCGGGUUGUAAAGCACUUUCAGUCGUGAGGAAGGUGGUAGUGUUAAUAGCUGUAUUAUUUGACGUUAGCGACAGAAGAAGCACCGGCUAACUCCGUGCCAGCAGCCGCGGUAAUACGGAGGGUGCGAGCGUUAAUCGGAAUUACUGGGCGUAAAGCGCAUGCAGGUGGUUUGUUAAGGUCAGAUGUGAAAGCCCGGGGCUCAACCUCGGAAUAGCAUGUGAAACUGGCAGACUAGAGUACUGUAGAGGGGGGUAGAAUUUUCAGGUGUAGCCGUGAAUGCGCGGAUCUGAAGGAUACCGGUGGCGAAUGUCGCCCCUGGACUGAUACUGAACACUCAGAAUGCUAAAGCGUGGGGAGCAAACAGGAUUAGAAAACCCUGUUAUCAACGCCGUAAACGAUGUCUUACUUGGAGGUGUGGCCUUGGAGCCUGGCUUCGGAAGCUAACCUUUAAGUAAACGGCCUUGGCGGAAGGACAGC
rnacentral:rRNA from 1 species